AGCUGGGAAUCAAACUGCUAAUCCUCUGUUUAGGAGACAACCCGCUCUACCUCCUGAGCCACAGCUGUCCACAAUGAUUAAUGUAUUUGUUGGCAGCUUUAACUCCUGUACAAUGAAACAUUGAAAUUUCUUACAUUUCUCUGCUUGCAGUGUCUUAUAAGCAAGGCAGCUUUAUUUAUAUAGCACAUUUCGUAAACAGAGGCAAUUCACAGUGCUUUACAUAGGUGAAAAAAACUAACAGCAGUAAAAACAGUAAGCACUAAAACCAGAGUACAACUGGUUAAGACAAAGUGAAGUACAGUGCAGUAAUAGGUUGCAAGUUGCCCUGAUGAAACAAACGUUUAGUAGAGAAACCAGUGGGUCAGCAGUUGUAAAAUGUAAAGUCAAGCUUUUAAACAGCUGCUCUGAAGAAACUCCAGUUAACACAGCUUUAGCUGUUAGCAGACGCUGUGUAUGUGGUUCUCUGUGUGGCCUUUAAUUACAUGUUGUUAGCGUUCACAUCUGGACAAAAGGGAAAAGUUCUAAUAAGAACCUCGGAACAGGACGACAAAUGACACCAGGUGGUGUUGCAUAAAUAAGUGGUUGAAUUUCAUUAUUUAAAACUAAACUACAGCAGUAGUUCAGUAUAUUGAAAAUGACUGUCUAACUUGUGCUGAAUGAUUAAACCUCUGUUUAUUUUUUCUUCUUGCAGAGACUGACUCAUAUAGCACAUUGACACAUUGUGGUCCCCUCAUUUGCUGCUGCAUUUUUAAAAAGUGUUUUAUUUAUUUAAUGUAUUGUUUGCAGGGAUUCUGUAUCUCCACAUCAGGUCGCAACCAUUAAUCCAACGUGCAUAUUGUUUUAAUGUUACACAGAUGUUUAUUACCUGCCUGGUUUAUUAUACAAGACGUUCACUUAGUCGCUGGACAGUUUGACUUGUCCAGUACAACGUUAAUUACAGCUCCAUUCCUUCCAGGUGCUCAGUGCUACCUGCCGUCUUCACUGCCACACAUAACUGGGACAGAUCUGUUACCAGCGUUAACAGUCACACACCAAGCCAAAUGAUUGCUGUGGGAAAAGUAUAACAUCACACUCCUGCAUUGGGACUGUUGAACGGUCUGGCUGACUUUAUGUGAACUACAUGUGUAAUGACAGGAAUUGUCACUGUGUCCUCUGAGAAACGGCUCCGUUUCUGGUUGUUUUAUAUAUAUGUGCCGCUUCACUUGUACAGAAUUGUAAAAAAAUGAUUAAACUCAAAACCUUA